rnacentral:rRNA from 1 species
UACACACCGCCCGUCACACCAUGGGAGUUGGUUUCACCCGAAGGCAGUGCGCUAACCGCAAGGAGGGCGAUUACCACGGCAGGGUUCAUGACUGGGGUG